rnacentral:rRNA from 1 species
GUGGGGAAUCUUAGACAAUGGGCGCAAGCCUGAUCUAGCCAUGCCGCGUGAGCGAUGAAGGCCUUAGGGUUGUAAAGCUCUUUCAGGGGGGAAGAUAAUGACGGUACCCCCAGAAGAAGCCCCGGCUAACUCCGUGCCAGCAGCCGCGGUAAUACGGAGGGGGCUAGCGUUGUGCGGAAUUACUGGGCGUAAAGCGCACGUAGGCGGACCAGAAAGUCAGGGGUGAAAUCCCGGGGCUCAACCCCGGAACUGCCUUUGAAACUCCUGGUCUUGAGGUCGAGAGAGGUGAGUGGAAUUCCGAGUGUAGAGGUGAAAGUCGUAGAUAUUCGGAGGAACACCAGUGGCGAAGGCGGCUCACUGGCUCGAUACUGACGCUGAGGUGCGAAAGCGUGGGGUGCAAACAGGAUUAGAUACCCCGGUAGUCC